AAUUAUCCACAGCCUCUUAUAGCUUUUUCAGUGUGUGACAGUGUAUCCUAGCUUAGUCCUUUUUAUAGCUUCUGUAGUUUGCAGUUUGAUGUGAUCCCCCUUAGUUUGUAUAGCUCUUCUAGGUUUUCAUGAUUCCUGGAGCAUCUAUAGCUCACCAAUAGCCUUCCCUGAGAUCUUAUAGUUUCUGGUAUUUUGUAAUCUUUCCAAACCACAUUCUCCUGCAGCUCUUUAGAAGCUCUACAACACCUUAUAGCUUUUAUGGUUCUUACAGUCUUCCUGUAAAUCCUCUGUCUUCCCCUCCAUGGUUCCUAUAGAUUCUAUAGUCUCCCAGGUCCCCGUCUGCAACUCUUCUCUGUGUCCUUCCAUAGCCUCUAUAGCUCCUCCUGUACUCCCCUAUAGCUCCUUUGACCCCUCUCUUCAGUUUGCUGUACAUCCUGUAAACCCUCUAUAUCUUCUAUAGCUGUCUCACUGACUGUAAUUGUUCCUGUAGACCCUACACAGCUUCCUGUAGCCCUCCAUGUGUCCCCCUUGACCUUGCUUUAUACCUGCGUACCUGCCACUGCCCUGCCAGGACGCUUGCAUCCCCCUGACAGACUUGUCAUGACCCCCAUGUCCCGAGGUCAUCCAUGGUGAAGCCCUUUCCCCUAUGGCCCCUGCCAUGUCACCAUCACUUCUGCUCCCCAGUGUCUUCCAGACAUCCCCAAGGUGUUACCCUCAGCCUUUACCCCCGCGUGUCCAUUUCCCCAGGGUGUCACCCUCAGCCCUGACUCCCAUGUCCACAGUGUCACCUUCAGUCCUGACCCCCACGUCCUCAAGUUGCCUCAAUCCUUUUCCCAAUGUCCUCAUGUUCCCAGGGUGUCACCCUCAGCCUUGACCUCUGUGUCCUCAAGAUGUUACCCUCAGCCCUGACCCUUGUGUCCGCAGGGUGUCACCCCGCUGCAGGUGGUGCUGGCUGAUACUGCCCUGCGCCUUCGAGCCUUGCUUGGCUUUGAGGAUGAGGAUGGGAACAAGUUUGUGGCAGGUGAUGAGUGGCUCUUCGAGGGUCCUGCUGAGCAGGGGACACACUCUGAGGACACCCUGGGGACAUCUUAGGGUGCUGAUGGUGCCCUGGCCCCACAGGCAUCUACAUCCCCCACAAGGAGGUAGAGAUGGUUGAGACAUUGCAGGCCACUGUCAUCAGACACAACCAGGCCAUCCACCUGUGGGCGUGCAAGGAGUGCCUUGACUGUCAGGGCACGCAGCGUGUCACACAUAGUGCCCUUGGGAUUGUCUCUUCCCACUCUAAUGGCCCUUGGGAUCAUCUCUCCCACCUUUGGGAUCAUCCCAUCUCACUCUGAUGACUGGUGGGAUUGUCCCUUCUCACCCAAAUGACUCUAGGGAUAGUCCCGUCCCACCUUAAUGAUCCCAGACACUGUUAAGAUCAUCUCAUCCCACCCUAAUGACCCUUAGUUUUGUCCCUUCCCACCUUUGGAGUUGUCUUAUCCCACCCUAAUGACACUUGAGAUUGUCCAGUCCCACCCUUAGGACCCCAGACAUCCUUAGGUUUGUCCCAUAGGACCCCCAGCACCCCUCAGACCACUUCCCAACCCAAAUCUCCGCAACCCUCCCAGUUUCCCCCAGUCUGCACCGGUGCCCUUAACUCCUUGAUCACCCCGUAACACUGUUUCCAGGCGAGGAGUGGCUGGUGAAGCAGGUGGGUGCCUACCUGCCAGGGGUCUACGAGGAGGUGGUCGACAUCAUGGAUGCCUAUGUCCUCACUGACAAGAUACAGGGACAUGAGACCCCCAAUGGUCUCUCCCACACCCAUGGGUGACAGGGACAUUCCAGGACUGAUUUUUUUGCCCUGAACCCGUAUCUGGGACAUGUUUAGGUGUCCCAUCAGUCUGUCUCCUUGCACACGCAGGUGACAGAGACCCCCUGGGACAGAUUUGGGGUCCCAUCGUGCACUUUGCCUCCAUUUGUCCCAUAGAAAGCCCUCUACCUGUGAGCUACCCGGACCUUUGAGGAUGCACAGGGACACAUGUGCCACACGGGCGAGGAGUGGCUGGUGACACAGGAGCAGAGUGAGGCUUACGUCCCUGAUGUCUUCAAGAAGAUGGUGGCUGAGGUGCUGGUGACAACUUUGGGUCCCUGACAAUACUGUGUGGUGCUUGACCUUGUGGGACCCAACAGGCAGCCCCAGUUAGAACAGCAGCAUGUGGUCAAGCUGGGUGAACAGCUCCAAGCUGGCAUCGAGGACGUCUGUGUACUCUCUGAGGAUGAGGGGCUGCUUCUUCAGGCUCUGCAGGCAAUCAAGGACACCGAUGAGGAUGGGACGGAGGUGAUAUGACAUGCAGGGGACUGCUGACUGUCCCGAGGUCCUCUCGAGUACCUGCCACUAGCCAAGGUGUGGGUGGUGACAGGGCAGACCUACAUGCUAACAGAGGCUGAGGAGCUGUGAGAGAAGGAGCUGUCCCCUGAGGUUGAGGCCCUGUUAGCUGACGCUCGUGGGGACACAGCUGGUCAAGAUUCAGUCAUCCAGUCAUCCUCAGGCCCCAGUUUUGGAGUCCAGGAGUGGGACCGGACCCAUGCCAUCACAUAUCAGAGCAGUACUGGGCCCUGAGCUGGUGGUGCUGGGCCCUGGCAAGCAGCUGACAGUGCUGUCCCAAUCUGAAGGCCUCACAUGCACCGCAGCCUCUGCCUGCGCCUCGGCCCUGACUUCUGUGCUGACAUUGUCACCAUUGAGACAGCUGACCAUGCAGGGCUGCAGCUGCAGCUGGCCUACAACUGGCAAUUUGAGGUGCCUGAGGAUCCAAAGGCUCUGGGACAUCUCUUCAGUGUCCCUGACUUUGUGGGGUUGCCUGCAAGGCCCUGGCCUCCUGUGUGCAUGGAGCUGUUGCUGCUGUCACAUUUCCACAAGGUCCUCUCUGUCACCUCUCUGCCACCCCAUCACCCCUUGGUCCCUCCACUUUUCACCCAUGCUUCCCCCAGCCACGUCACCCUAAGUCACUGCUCUGUCACCUGCAUUCUCUUGUGUCACCUCCACCUAUGUCCCCACAUUUUGUUUGUGUGACCUUGACUUGCUCAGAUGUCACCAGAAUGAAGUUCCCCAUGUCCUCCUGAGUCUCUGCUGUCUCCAAGAGCCUCUGGGACAUCAACAGAAUUCCCAACAUCCCUGUUCGGCUUUGAUAAAUCCUUUCAUGUUUCUCAUUGUCACCCCAUGUUCCCAUUGUGCCCACUGCCCCAACAGCGUACACUAUGACAUUGUCCCCAAAUGUUCCCAGAUGCCCUUAUAUCCACAGAUGUCCUCUAUAUCCCCCAUGUCCCCAAGUAUCUUCUAUAUCCCAUUUUCCCACAUCUCCCCUGUCACCAAAUACCCUCUGUGUCCCUCACUCCACUAAAUGGCCCUGAUGCUCCCCUGGUACCCUGCCCUUGUCCUCAUCCCCCAGUGACGCUGCUGUCCCUGCUGUUCCCAGAACUCCAACCACCUCAUCUGCUCAGCCGUCUUUAGCUUUGAUGAGGGUGGAUGGCUGUGGGAGCACCUACGCUUUGUUCCCAGUGGGCUGGUGGUGACGAACGUCAACAUCCAGAGUGUGGAACCCGUGGACCAACGCACACACGAUGCACUGCAGCGCAGCGUCCAGCUGGCCAUCAAGAUCACCACCAACUCCCAGGAGGCUGCUGCCAGGUCCCCAAUUCCCCAUGUCACCCUGGGUGUGACCUGGUCCUCCUCCUGCCCCCCUAGUGUUCUUGUUGCCACAUGUCUCCUUUUGCCUCUCUGUAUGCCAUGUGUUAUCAUAUUCUCAUCUCUCCUUAUCCACUUCCUGUCCCCAAAUGUUCCCACAUGACCUCUAUAUCCCCAGGUGUCCUCUAUGUCCCCCAUGUCCCCAAAUGUCCUCUAUAUACCAUACAUCCCCAAAUUUCCUCUACAUCUCCCAUUUGCUCAAGUGUUCUCUAUAUCCCCAAGUGUCCCCAAAUAUCCUCUCUCCCUCUUGUCCACGGAUGUCCUCUGUCCCCAAGCAUCUUCCAUGUGUCCCAUGCCACCAGAUGUCCUCGAUCCCACGUCCCCAAAUGUCCUCUACAUCUCCCAUGCUUCCAAAUGUUCUCCAUAUCUUCCAUGCCCCCAAACUUCAUUCCACAUCCCCUCCAUCCCAAUGUCCCCUGUAUGUUCAGCGUCACCUGCAUCCUUCUGAUCCCUAUCAAGAUAAAAGUCUUAGUAUGGAAGAUUUAGUUAUGGCAUGCUGACUAGAAGAAAAGAAAUGACUAUUAACCUUGUACUUUUUUCUUUGUAUCUCUCAUCAUGUAGAUCUGAGUUUGAACAAAGCCUGUUGCCUUGAUCACCGCUAAACCCAUUAAAAUUGUUGCUCAGAGGUAUUGCACCUGCAUAGGAGAACUCUGUAACCUAAAUGCCGAGGGGAGAAGAAAGGGAGACUGUUAACAUUUAUUACUUCCUGUAAACUGAUAGUCAUUUGCUUCUUGUCCCAUCCAAAUCCUGUAAAGCAGGAUAACAAAGAUGUAGUGAUGUUUACAACUGUGGUAGGGAUUGCUGGAUACAACCAACCACACAAGGCUGAGCACGCUCUCCUGUCCCUUUCCCAAUUCUAGAAAUGCCCAGAGGAGCUCAGUGUUCUCUUGCUUACAUUUACUUACAUGAAGCAUUUUAAAAUGCACAUUGUCAUGUUGUAUAUGUUGUGCCUAAAGCCACAGCCCAAGAGGGUGGCACUGCCCCUGGGCAUAAAGUCCCAGCCUGAGAGGCUGGCAUCAGCCCUGGGGCUUAAAGCCACAGCCAGAGUUAGAGAGGAUGACACUGACCAUGAGGCCUGAAGCCACAGCCCCAGGGCAAGAGGCCAAUACCAGCUUUGGGCAUAAAUCCCCAGCUCCAGCCAGACAGGCUGGCAUCAGCCCUGUGUCUAAAGCCAUAGCCAGAGUGGCCGACACCAGCCCUGGGGCCUACAGGCAAAGCCCAAAAGGCCAGCACUGGCCCUGGGGCCUAAAGCCACAGUGACAACCUGAGAGGCCAACACUGGCCCCAGGGCCUGGACCCCCAGUCAGUGAGGCCGGCACUGGCCCAAGGACCUAAAAAGACAGCCUGAAAGGCUGGAACCAGUCCAGGGACUUAAAGCCAGAGCCAGUUAGAAAGGCCAGCACCAGCCCAAGGGCCUAAAGCCACAGACACAGUCAGGGAGGCCAGCAGUAGCCCUGGAACUUAAAGCCAGAGCCAGUUAGAAAGGCCAGCACCAGCCCAAGGGCCUAAAGCCACAGACACAGUCAGGGAGGCCAGCAGUAGCCCUGGAACUUAAAGCCAGAGCCAGUUAGAAAGGCCAGCACCAGCCCAAGGGCCUAAAGCCACAGACACAGUCAGGGAGGCCAGCAGUAGCCCUGGAACUUAAAGCCAGAGCCAGUUAGAAAGGCCAGCACCAGCCCAAGGGCCUAAAGCCACAGACACAGUCAGGGAGGCCAGCAGUAGCCCUGGAACUUAAAGCCAGAGCCAGUUAGAAAGGCCAGCACCAGCCCAAGGGCCUAAAGCCACAGACACAGUCAGGGAGGCCAGCAGUAGCCCUGGAACUUAAAGCCAGAGCCAGUUAGAAAGGCCAGCACCAGCCCAAGGGCCUAAAGCCACAGACACAGUCAGGGAGGCCAGCAGUAGCCCUGGAACUUAAAGCCAGAGCCAGUUAGAAAGGCCAGCACCAGCCCAAGGGCCUAAAGCCACAGACACAGUCAGGGAGGCCAGCAGUAGCCCUGGAACUUAAAGCCAGAGCCAGUUAGAAAGGCCAGCACCAGCCCAAGGGCCUAAAGCCACAGACACAGUCAGGGAGGCCAGCAGUAGCCCUGGAACUUAAAGCCAGAGCCAGUUAGAAAGGCCAGCACCAGCCCAAGGGCCUAAAGCCACAGACACAGUCAGGGAGGCCAGCAGUAGCCCUGGAACUUAAAGCCAGAGCCAGUUAGAAAGGCCAGCACCAGCCCAAGGGCCUAAAGCCACAGACACAGUCAGGGAGGCCAGCAGUAGCCCUGGAACUUAAAGCCACAACCAGAGAUGCCGGCACCGGCCCUGGGUUUUGUUUUCUACUGGUUCCAAUGGGACUCCAUUGACCACUAUGAGACCAUAUUAGUCCUUACGGGUUUUUACUGGUCCAUACUGGUACAAACUACUGGUUCCUACUGUUUCUCUGGGAUUCCAUUGACCACUAUGAGGCCAUACUGGUCUUUACUGGUUUUUAUUGGGCUGCACAGGAGUCAUCUUCACUUCUCCAUUAUUUUACUUCAGUUAAUGCCACUGGGUGACCCUGGUGUUGGUUUCCUAAAAUGUGGAUCUGGGAGGCGUCCAUUUCCUUUGCUUAUGAUGAAAGCACAGAAGCGAUGCGGGCACUCGCUGAGGUUACAAUCACUGCUGGGGUGGGAGCAUUUGUGCCACAGAUGGUGAGCAGAGCUGGUGCUCUGGUGAGCGUGCUGCACGCAGAGACUGAGCUCUGGGCCUUCCGUGGAACAGAUCACCCUGUGAGUGCCUGUCAGAAGCACUGCUGUGGUGUGUGUGUGAGCUGGGCACAGCUUGGGCUGAGCGGGCCGAGCAGGUCAGCUGGGUGUGGUGCUGGGGGGUUGCCAGGAGGUGUCUCAGCAGAAGAGCUGGGCUGGGGAGGAGCUCCCAGCUCCUGCAGUGCCCUUCUGAAUGGCUGCUUCCAGGGAAAUGUGUUCCUGUUAAGAUUCCAUCCCACCAUUCAGUAAGGAUGAUGAAAUGUCAUUCCUCCCCUGGAAAUCCGCUGCCGGGCCCCAGUCUUCAUGUCAGACGUUGAAAAGGAAGGAGAGUGCAAAUUUUACAGAGCACAGCUUGUUCCUCACUGCCCCACGGAUGGCUGGGUGCAGAGCUACUGGGGAGAUGGAGAGGAGCAUCUGCUGACACAGCCAUGGCAGUCAGACACAAGCUGGAGCUAGCGUUGCACAGCUCUUGCAGCCAGCUGAUUGCCAAACAUUGCCCUCCUCAAGAGACUACAUUGCAUGGCAAGAAGAAGGCUGGGAAGAUGAUCCUUCCUCAGGAUUUUUCACUUGUUGGUACUUUCUGCAGGGUUCCUGUCCCAAAGGAAAUUUCAGGAUCGAGGCAGUCUUAGGAAGAGUGAAGCCAGCUCUUUCCAAGGGCUGGGGAAGUUCCUGUGGAGAGAGCCUUGGGAACUUCAGUUUCCUCUGAUACUUCAGUGGCCAUGUCUCAGCAAGGAGACGACCGCAGUUCCAAUUCCUGCUGUGUGAGUGGAAAGAAGCGGUGCGGUGCGGUUCCCUGUGUUUGGGAGCAGCAGCCAGCAGGCUGCCAGAGAUCCAACUGCGCCUUGCAGCGCACAGAAGGAUGCGAUGGGGACAGACUGUCCUUUCUGCCAUGCAAAAGGACGGAGCCUGCACAUCCAUGGAGUGGUGCUGGGCGAGGGGGGAAACGGAAAGCCUCCGCAGAAGCUGAUGUGAGCGGCCUUCCAGCAAAGCGCAGCCUUGCAGAAAGACAAGGCAGAAGUGCCCAGUGUGGCACAGCACCGGAGAGAGAGAGAGGUGCUGAGCCAAAUGGAAAGAUCUACAUGAAAGUGAUGCAGAAAGUCCUUUCGGAGAGAGCUCAUCUCCAGGCUGGAGGGCUUCCUACAACAGCAGGUUCCAGUGCACGGAGAAGACCUUCCCCUGCUGUGUGUCCCUGCUCUGUCUCCAAGUCCUUGGCUGGAUGUAAACGCAAGGCGCUUGGAAGAAGAGAAACCAACAGCAGCACAGCUGCCUGCUAACAAAAGAGUGAGGGGUCAGAGCAGAGACAGCAUGCUGGCUCCAGCAGCACACCCUGGGCCUGCUGCAGCGCGGAGCUCCAAGCUAAGAGCAAGAAGACGACGACAAAAAGAGAGGAGAGGGGAAUUGAUGAAAGCUGCCCUCAGAGCUGCUGCUGCACGUGCAGAGUCCUCCGCAGUGAACAGCCUUGUGGAGAUGAUGCAGAAGCUGCAGCUGAAGGACUGAGAGGCGGAGUGUCAGGAAGCAGCGGCUGCAGUGCACGGCGUUACAGGGCAGCGCUGUGAGUGCCGCCCAACUUGGCACUCCAACUUCCGACGUAGUCAAUAAAAACCAGUUGCAAUUAGAGAUUCA